UACGAAGGGUGCAAGCGUUAAUCGGAAUUACUGGGCGUAAAGGGUGCGUAGGCGGUUAUUUAAGUCUGCCGUGAAAUCCCCGGGCUCAACCUGGGAAUGGCGGUGGAUACUGGAUAGCUAGAGUGUGUCAGAGGAUGGUGGAAUUCCCGGUGUAGCGGUGAAAUGCGUAGAGAUCGGGAGGAACAUCAGUGGCGAAGGCGGCCAUCUGGGACAACACUGACACUGAGAGACGAAAGCUAGGGGAGCGAAUGGG
rnacentral:rRNA from 1 species